CCUACGGGCGGCUGCAGUGGGGAAUAUUGGACAAUGGGGGCAACCCUGAUCCAGCCAUGCCGCGUGUGUGAAGAAGGCCCUCGGGUUGUAAAGCACUUUCAGUGAGGAAGAACGCCUGGUGGUUAAUACCCAUCAGGAAAGACAUCACUCACAGAAGAAGCACCGGCUAACUCCGUGCCAGCAGCCGCGGUAAUACGGAGGGUGCGAGCGUUAAUCGGAAUUACUGGGCGUAAAGCGCGCGUAGGUGGCUUGAUAAGCCGGUUGUGAAAGCCCCGGGCUCAACCUGGGAACGGCAUCCGGAACUGUCAAGCUAGAGUGCAGGAGAGGAAGGUAGAAUUCCCGGUGUAGCGGUGAAAUGCGUAGAGAUCGGGAGGAAUACCAGUGGCGAAGACGGCCUUCUGGACUGACACUGACACUGAGGUGCGAAAGCGUGGGUAGCAAACAGGAUUAGAUACCCGUGUAGUC
rnacentral:rRNA from 1 species